AAAGAAAGAAAAGAGAAUUAAAUGAAAAUUGUAAGUCCAUGAAUCUAGAAGAAAGGUGCAUUUACUCAACUUUUGCUAGGACAUCAGGCCCUCCAGUGGCAGAAGUUCCCCCAAAGGAGCAAUUUGAUCUGGAUAUCCAAUCUCCUACAGCCAAAAGCAGUGUAAUUUUUCUAUGGUGAAGGAACUAUUGGAGUAUAUUGCUAUGCAGCCUGACCUAAGCAGCUGACCUUGAAUAUCAAGUCAUUCUUUCUAUUGCUAGAAGCAAUAUUGCAAGCCAUACUGCCCAGAUUGAUUGAGAAGAGCAAACAAAGAGUGCAGGUCACGGACAACCAGCAGAACAACCUAUUUGUCAAGAAACAAGAUGACAAUGCAUCAUAGCAUAGAAUGCUUCCUUGAAGAAACCACAACAGUAGGAUUUGGUAAAUUGUUAUUCAGAGAACUCACUUGGAAGAUUGCUUUUCCAGUGAAACAUUUUCAGAAGAAAAAUUCAUCACUGCAAGAAAAAACUAUUAUGCAGAAGAUUUAAAGACU
rnacentral:lncRNA from 1 species